GCCAGGCAUAGUAGUGCAUGCCUGUAAUCCCAGUGUCUCAGGAGGCUGAGGCAGGAGAAUCACAAGUUCAAAGCCAGACUCAGCAACUUAGCAAGACCCUGUCUCAA
rnacentral:sRNA from 1 species